UAUAUUGGAUGAUUCCCAGGUA
rnacentral:siRNA from 1 species